CUUAGCGCUCGCCUAGGAUUCCCGCGGAGCCGCGCCACCUCUGUGAGUCUGUGACCUCGCCUGCCGCCAUUGCCCUCCUUCCCUCUUUUUCAUUGCUAUAUCGCCUACUGUGGAGGCGUGGAGUGCUGAUUCCGGGCGGAUCCGCCGUCGCCCGUGACGCCUGGAGCCGUCGCGCGACCCCCCACCACGCCCGACCUCUGCCGUCCCGGUCGUGUGCUCGUCGACGAGCCGUCCCCUCCGCUUACAGCAAUGCGCGCUGAGGCGACCAUAACGGCCUCACGCUCCAGGGUUCCCUCCAGGAUGGUGUUCGACAGAUUGUUCAAACGGGACAGCAUGUUCGGCCGGCAUGCCACAAAUUUCCUCCUUGGGUCAUCGUCGAUGACAAUCGGAUGGAAUCCUGUGGGGUUGGGUGUCAGUCAUGGAUAACUGAUGGCUGCACUCGUGUUCAGUGCGAUGCCUGACAGAUAUCUACUCGCGUUUCAGGAGGCUGUUGGCGUAAUGCUUGGCACAAGCUGGCAUUUCUGGAGCGACCAUGUUUGGAAGCGAUGCUGCCAGGAUGACGCCGCAGUUCCAUCUCUGCCGUAAAUAAGGUGACCGGUGUGAACCCACCAGCAGAAACUCCCUCCCACACCCUUGGAGCAGAAUGGUUGCAAUUGCCACAUAAGGCGAUGAAGUACCAUGCAGUAUCACAGAGACCAAUGAAGAAGCUCGAUAGCUUGGCAUAAGCAAAUGACACUGCUUCACUAUCUGUUAAUUGUGGCAUGAAUCCAUCAAUUACUUUUGUUUAGAGGUUUAUUCCAUUAUCUCUCCCAGGCUUGUAUGCAACUGAACAAGCAUUUGUCAGCUGUGGACUUGAAGUAGUGAAUGUUCACACUCCAGGUUUCAGCUGACCAUGCUGCAGUUUAUUUACAUCCAGGAUGGACUGCACAUGUGGUUCUCAGUGAAGUGCCUCUUGGAGGUUAUAUGCUUUUAUGGAGUCUUGUGCAAGAUCAAUCAUUCUGGGUCUGCAGAUCGUAAUCCCAUGGCUUGCUGAUCUAUCCUAUGGUGGAUUGUGCACAGCUGCAUUUCAGUAGAAUACCCGAGGUACAUGUUAUGCCUGGUACUUGUCUGGCCUUAGAGGGUUCUCAAGUCAUUCUGUCCAUCAUGGUUCAUCAUGCUGCUUGAACAUGUUUUUUUGUUGUGACGUUGGGAUUUCUUAAAUAUUUACCAAGAAAAUUCCAACAAAACAAAGUAGUUGAAGGUCCUCGUUAUUUGACAUGGCAAGGGACAAAACUGGAGCACAAAGUAAUGCAACUUGCAUGUGGUGGAAAUUUCUAUUGUCGUAGCAAAGAGGAGGCUGUCUGUUGGUGUAAGGCUUAGCACAAGCUGACAUUUGAGAUGGAACGCACCUGGGGAAUGACUUGUUUGUGUUCGAUGAACUGCCACAGAUGGACUGCACAUGUAGUUCUCCGUGAAGAGCCUCUUGGUGGCUAUGCUUUAUGGAAUCUUGUGCAAGAUCAAUCAUUCUGGAAGGCAUACCCAUGGAACGUUCACGUCUGUGUUUCAGUAGAAUACCCGAGGUCGAUAGGGAGGAGAUGCGACGGCGAUGGGCCUGGCAUAAGACCGCUCUUUGCAAUAGACCAAGUUUUUUUAUGUUCUAUAUAUUUGAAUUCGAUAUUAAAGAUAAUGGUUGUUCUAUAUA